rnacentral:rRNA from 1 species
AUUGAACGCUGGCGGCAGGCCUAACACAUGCAAGUCGAACGAGUGGCGGACGGGUGAGUAAUGUCUGGGAAACUGUCUGAUGGAGGGGGAUAACUACUGGAAACGGUAUCUAAUACCGCAUACCAUCAGAUGUGCCCAGAUGGGGUUAGCUUGUUUGUGGGGUAACGGCUCACCAAGGAGACGAUCCCUAGCUGGUCUGAGAGGAUGACCAGCCACACGUGAACUGAGACACGGUCCAGACUCCUACGGGAGUAAGUAGUGGGGAAUAUUGCACAAUGGGCGCAAGCCUGAUGCAGCCAUGCCGCGUAUAUGAAGAAGGCCUUCGGGUUGAAAAGUACUUUCAGCGGGGAGGAGUUACCCGCAGAAGAAGCACCGGCUAACUCCGUGCCAGCAGCCGCGGUAAUUC